UACGUAGGGGGCUAGCGUUGUCCGGAAUCAUUGGGCGUAAAGCGCGUGUAGGCGGUCCGGUAAGUCCGCUGUGAAAGUCGGGGGCUCAACCCUCGGAUGCCGGUGGAUACUGUCGGGCUUGAGUACGGAAGAGGCGAGUGGAAUUCCUGGUGUAGCGGUGAAAUGCGCAGAUAUCAGGAGGAACACCGGUGGCGAAGGCGGCAUCCUGGACCGACAUUGACGCUGAGGAGCGAAAGCUAGGGGAGCAAACGGG
rnacentral:rRNA from 1 species